GUCUACAGCCAUGCUACCCUGAACAAGCCCCAUCCGUCUGAUCUCAGAAGCUGAGCAGGGUCGGGCCUGGUUAGCACUUGGAUGGGAGACCACCUAGGAAGACCAGGUGCUGUAUGCA
rnacentral:rRNA from 1 species